rnacentral:rRNA from 1 species
UACGGGGGGAGCAAGCGUUGUUCGGAUUUACUGGGCGUAAAGGGCGCGUAGGCGGCCACCGCAAGUCGACUGUGAAAUCUCCGGGCUUAACCCGGAAAGGUCAGCCGAUACUGCGGGGCUAGAGUGCAGAAGGGGCAACUGGAAUUCUCGGUGUAGCGGUGAAAUGCGUAGAUAUCUGGAGGAAUACCGGUGGCGAAGGCGGCACCUG